rnacentral:rRNA from 1 species
GUGGGGAAUAUUGCACAAUGGGCGCAAGCCUGAUGCAGCCAUGCCGCGUGUGUGAAGAAGGCCUUCGGGUUGUAAAGCACUUUCAGCGGGGAGGAAGGCGAUAAGGUUAAUAACCUUGUCGAUUGACGUUACCCGCAGAAGAAGCACCGGCUAACUCCGUGCCAGCAGCCGCGGUAAUACGGAGGGUGCAAGCGUUAAUCGGAAUUACUGGGCGUAAAGCGCACGCAGGCGGUCUGUCAAGUCGGAUGUGAAAUCCCCGGGCUUAACCUGGGAACUGCAUUCGAAACUGGCAGGCUAGAGUCUUGUAGAGGGGGGUAGAAUUCCAGGUGUAGCGGUGAAAUGCGUAGAGAUCUGGAGGAAUACCGGUGGCGAAGGCGGCCCCCUGGACAAAGACUGACGCUCAGGUGCGAAAGCGUGGGGAGCAAACAGGAUUAGAAACCCGGGUAGUCC